rnacentral:lncRNA from 1 species
AUGGAGGAUAGAUUGCAAGUGAAGCCAAGAACAAAAUACAGCUGACUCUGAACAAAUCCUUUUCAUGACUUCUGGAUAAAGGACAACUCAAGCCCCUCGUUCCAGUGGCAGUGGAUUGAUAUGCAGCUUCCUAUGUGAAGGCAGAGCACACGUCUGUCUCUGGAGCUUCCUAGAGAGCUUUAUUAAUGGAAGAGAAGAAGCACUAUGGAGAAGAUAAAAAGUUUCUGUUGCUAGGAAAUGACACCUUAAGGACAGAUUAUGGCUAAGAAGAGAAAACUAACGGGAGAAGACUUAGCAGUGGGAUCCAUUUAAUGAAGAACCAAAUAGUCUUGACUCAAAAGGCCUUGUGAAAAUUCCUGCAUAAAAUCUGACAACCACAAAUUACCCAAAAA